AAACGGAUCCUUCUGAAGGCACCAAGAAAUUCAUGUGUUAGAGAAGAGAACGUGAAGAUCCCAAUGCAGCCCUGAAGGGUCACAUUCUGGUGGCCUUCACGAGCUUGGAGCAAGGCCCCCAGAAAGAGAGUCGCACAUUCCAAGGGAUCAAAAAGGAGAACUCUGGAAAAGUCCUUUUUCUAGACAGCUGGAGAGUCAGACAGGAUUAUCAAGAGGAAAGAGCCGGUUUAUGACCACGAGUCAACCUUCCUGGCCAAGGGAACGUCCAUGAUGGUGGUGACGGCUGUCAUGAGAAAAACCUUUAAAAAGCAAGUCCUUUUGUUUAUCGUGCAUUUCUGGAAUUGGGUGUCACGUAGAUAUGUUGCAUUUUACAUAAUCCACGUGAAAGACCUUUUAAUAAAACCACCAAAGAGAGAGAUCAUGUGGGGUGGGGGCAGGGGAGCUCAAUUUUAAAGGAUUCCAGAGUUCUGGAAUGCUGUAGGCAAUUAGAUAAAUUCUGCUGUCCUUGUAGUUGGGAUGAAAGGGGCACAGGGCUACCCAUCAAGCUAUGGCAGAAUCAAAGGCAGGAAGAUGUGCCCCGGGGGAGCUGGGUCCUGACACCAUGGCUGCCCCACUCCCGGGCCACCUGCGCCAACAAGGAGCUCGCUGGUUCCCAACAGGAGCAACUUCCUGUCUGGACUCUGGAUCUUCUUCCUUGAAAUUCCUUUUUGGCCCCAGGCGUGGGCCUGGGGUAGGCUGUCGCACUGUGACCCCCUCUGGUGAAGGCAGACUUUCCUAGUGUCAUUGGUCACCUGCCCCUGCACAGUCCUCACAGCCUGGUGCCCCCCUGGGGCUUGGUCUUGGCCAUCUGGACAGAAGCUAAGGACCUCACUGGUUUGCGCAGCGCGAUGGAUGCGGUCCCAGCCUGCAGAGCUGGACUGGUGGGAGGUACUGAGAGGUGCCACGGCACCGAGCAAGUCCCCAGGAGCGUGGCCUCCGGCCCUUUGAAUGCUUGUGCAUUUGUGAUGAGAGAAACAUGGGGGUUUCUCAGGAAACAGGUCAGCGUGGCUCUUCCUGUUCCAGGAGCCUCGCAGGACCCUCCUGCCCUCGCUCCCCGGCACAGAGCGGGGGAUCCUCCACGCACGGCCUCCAGAGGCUGCUCCGCCCCAGCCCCGCGUCCUUGGUUGAAGCAAGAGAAGAAAAAUGGACAGAGAGGAAGGGGAGGGCCUAGAACAGGAAAGAAAAUGAUUCCAGAUGUGGCCAGUGGAUUCUCAACUACAGCGUGUAGUGGGGAGCUGUGUCCCAAGGCAGCCGGGAAGGCGGUUUCACCAGCCAGAGAUUGGAGACUGGCCUUGGCCAGGCGAUGGGGAGUUUGAGGUCUGGGAAACCUCAAGGGUGAUCUCCCCUGAAAGGCAGAGGUCCAAAACGGACGUCCCCCCCCUCCCCCCAGGCCAGGUCUACACAGCCAGAAGGUAGAAACCAGGUGGCUCCUAACUCCGGACUUGGUUUAAUUCGUUUUGGAAUCCGGGCUCUCCCAUCAGCUCCCUGGGGACCUUGUCAAUUUCUCUAUCCGUUUUUCUGUUUAUAAAAUGAGAAUAAUAAAAACACUUCACAAGCAUCUUAUUUGCAAGUAUUUAUGACAAAGAUCCUUGAAUUGAAAUGCUCUUGAUCCCUGACGGGCAUGUGGUGGGUUCUCAGCACACGGGAGUGACACAGGGACUCCUCAGAGGGCUCAGCCUUCCCCACCGUCACUUGCUGAACACAGCUUGCAGGACACCAGUGCCUGCCCCUUCCUAGUCUCUCCAUUCCCUGUUGGGAGUGAUGGAUCGGCAUAUUUUCAGGAAUUUUACAACAGGUUACUCAUCAAAACUGAAUAUGAACUUAAAAUGAAAUGAGUUAUAUUUAAAAUAAAGAUCAUGAACACUCAAACCUCA